CCUUUCCUGUCCAAAAAGGGCACCUGAUCUUACAAAUCACAAAACCUUAAACGAAACUGAGCAGAUCUGAGAAAAUGAAAAGAUGAGACACAGAGAGGGAAGAAGAUCAGGAAACCCUAAACCCUCAGAACGAAGCCUCAGAUCUAUGCCAAAGAAGAAACGCUCCCCGGGCCGCACAAUGGCAUUGGCUCUGUGAUCGGAGCCUUCGUUGGAGAUCAGAGACAUGAGCAUGAAGAAAGGCGACGAGGCAAGAAAAGCUCCUCCAAUCCGAUUCUUGUUUUGCGAGGUUUAACACCUCGAUGGCCCCCAUGGUUCAAGAACUUACACUUGAAAUCGUGCAGUAAAUAACACCGACACCAGAGAUCUAAUGGGGCAAGUUACACUCCAUGGCAGCUUGCUCAAGAUGUGAUGUGGAUUGAUAGAGGCACUGAACGCGGGUCUUCCAUAUCUUUUAAGGAUAUCUGAAACCACAAGCUAGCAGGACUUCGCCUCAAACUCCCUUUUGUUUUUUUGAUUAAUUUGAUCUCAUUUCAAUCAAAAAAAGUCUGUAA